rnacentral:rRNA from 1 species
AUUGAACGCUGGCGGCAGGCCUAACACAUGCAAGUCGAGCGCGAAAGUUCUUCGGAAUGAGUAGAGCGGCGGACGGGUGAGUAACGCGUGGGAAUCUGCCCAGUAGUGGGGGAUAACGUUCCGAAAGGAGCGCUAAUACCGCAUACGCCCUACGGGGGAACGGGGGGAUCUUCGGACCUCUCGCUAUUGGAUGAGCCCGCGUCGGAUUAGCUAGUUGGUAGGGUAAUGGCCUACCAAGGCGACGAUCCGUAACUGGUCUGAGAGGAUGAUCAGUCACACUGGAACUGAGACACGGUCCAGACUCCUACGGGAGGCAGCAGUGGGGAAUAUUGGACAAUGGGGGAAACCCUGAUCCAGCCAUGCCGCGUGUGUGAAGAAGGCCUUAGGGUUGUAAAGCACUUUCAGUGGGGAGAAAGGCUUGUUGAUUAAUACUCGGCGAGAUUGAUGUUACCCACAGAAGAAGCACCGGCUAACUCCGUGCCAGCAGCCGCGGUAAUACGGAGGGUGA